rnacentral:snoRNA from 1 species
CUGCAUGUUAAAAAAAAAAUGAAAAUUCUGCUCCUUAUUUCCAUAAGGAGCAUGAAUAUCCAUAUAACAUGCUACAGAAUGCAAGGAGUCUUCAGGGCUGCCAGCCUUACAGUGAAGGCUGAGUGGUAGUAUAGGUCUCCUACAUCU